rnacentral:lncRNA from 1 species
CCGGAAUUCCCCAGCCCUGUUUUUCCUGGGAUAAAUCCCCAUUCCCGAGGUUCCCAUCCCCCUUUUCCAGGGGGAAGAAAAGCGGGAAUUCCAGCAGGAAGUGCCAACUCUUUAAUGGAACAACAUUCCCGAGCCUCGGGAACCCCGGGAUCCGCCCUCCUCUCCUGGGAACCCCGGAAUUCCUCCCGGAGACCCCUCAAAUCCGGCUCCUCCCCGGAGUUCUCCAGCUGGAAAUCCCAAACUUGACCAAAAUCCCGGGAAUUCCGCUUGUCCUUCCCCUCCCCCACCCCCCCCCAACACCGCAUUCCAGGAAUUCCAAAGUACGACUUACCAAUAAAAAAAAAAACCAAACCAAACAAAAAAAAACAAAAAAAAAAACCAAAAAAUUGGGAAAAAAACGGAGGCAGAGCCAAAGUUCUGGAUUGAAUUCCAGUCCCAAAUUCCGGGAAUUCCGUGUCCUGCUCCUCCCAAGGCCCUUCCCAGCCCGGAAUUCCCAGGGUGGAUCUGGGAUUUUCCGGGAAAAGGGGAGGCAGGGACCCCCCUGGAGUCAGAGGCGGGAAUCGAUUCUGGGAAUCUUCUGGAAAAAUCCCUGCGGGUUUCCCAGCCAAGGGGAGGGAGAAAGGCCCCGAAUUCCGGGAUUCCUGCGGGAAUCAGCUCCUGCUGGAAAAGCAGCUGGAAUUUUGGGAUCAUCCCGUCCUUUGCCGAGGUUCUCCGUGGAUCCCGAGCCGCCGGAUGGUCCCGGAAAGGCGGCUGGGAAUUGUCUCAAUCCCGAGGAUUUGGGGAGCAGGGGGUGGGCUCUGCAUUCCUGGAAUUCCAGCCGGGAUCCUUCCAUCCCAGAUUCCCAAAUUCCAGCCUGGAUUCCUGAAAUUCCAGCCUGGAUUCCUGAAUUCCAUCCCAGAUUCCCAAAUUCCAGCCUGGAUUCCUGAAAUUGCAGCCUGGAUUCUUCCGUCCUGGAUUCCUGAAUUCCAGCAAAGAUUCCUGGAAUUCCAUCUUGGAUUCUUCUGUCCUGGAUUCCCAAAUUCCAUCCUGGAUUCUUCCACCCUGGAUCCUGGAAUUCCAGCCUGGAUUCUUCCAGCCCAGACCCCCAAAUUCCAGCCCGGAUUUCCGGAAUUCCAGCCGGGAUUCUCCCAGAUCCGGGGGCCGCUCCCAGUCCUGGGAAUUCUGAGCGAUCCCUCGGAGAGGAUCCGGGAGAAAAUCGGGAUUUAAGGAUCGACAUUCCCGGCUUUUCCAAAGGGUGAGGGGGGGAAAAAAUUCCAUGGAUCCAGGGCCCCCCCCAAAAAAUCCCGGGAUCCAAAUUCCCAGGGAUGGGCUCCAGCCAUGAUCGGAGCCUGGGAAGGGGUUGGGAAUUUUCUGGAAAAAUGGGAAAGGCCUCACAGUCGUGGUUGGGAAUAUCCAAAGGAUUCCUGGGAAUUUCUCCAAGGGGAUGUGAAGGGGAAAAAAAUAAAAUCCUGGAAUUUUAUAGGGAGGGGAUUUGG